rnacentral:rRNA from 1 species
AUGGAUCACAUGGAGGCGCUGCCGGACGACGCGCUCGCAGCCAUCAUCGGCCGCCUCGGACCACGUGACCUGGCCGCAUCCCGGUGCGUGCGCAAGGCGUGGCGUGCCGUCGUGGACGCCCGGCGGCUGCUGCUCCCGCACCUCCUCCCGCACUCUGUGGAGGGCAUCUUCGCCAACUACAACGACCACCAUCGCCCGCAAUUCCUCGCCCGCCCCUCCACUUCCUGCGUCAACCACGGCAACCUCCACUUCCUGCCCAACUACACCGAAGGCUACAGAAAGGUCGCGGACCACUGCAAUGGUAUCUUGCUCUACGGCGACACGAGGGAGUUUUUUGUGGUCAACCCGGCCACGCGGCGGUGGGAGCGCCUGCCUGGAACGCACAAUGAUGAGGAAUGCCGUGAAGCCUAUCUCGCGUUUGACCCUGCCGCGUCGCCGCAUUACGAGGUGUUCUUGAUCCCUCCUAAGGACCUAGGUCUGUUCGAUGUGACGGACUGCGAGUUGGCGGAGGUUCAGCCAGAACAGCUCGUCGAAGAAAACUUUACGAUAAGUUCAAGACCUCAGUGGAGCACUGAGGUUCCACAACACUCGACGGAAUGGCCAGCGGCCGUGUUUACGCUGGACGUUUUCUCAUCAAGCAUGAGACAGUGGCAGGAGAGGUCGUUUGUCAGGGAAGGCAGUGCUACGAGGAGAGUGGUCAACUUGCGGGGUUCACUGAUGUUCCUGACCAAUUGGGUGAGAAGAUGGCGAUACAGCGCCUACUGGGGAGGAGCAUUACAUGUGCUGCUUUGUCGAGGUACCUUUGUCACAAGGUUAUCAUUGUCUACUGGCAAAUAUCAAGUAAUAAAAACACCAAUAGAUGCUAACGAACACAAAGUUGGACAACAUUAUCUUGGGAGCUCCGAGGCGGGUGUAUACUUUGCAAAUCUUCGUGAUCGGAUUCAGAUUUGGUACUUGAUUGAAUCAAAUGGUGAGGUACAAUGGGUGUUGAAGAAUAGCAUUGGCCUUGUUGAGCCACCAGCAAAUAUAUCUUCGCUCAACCUGAAGGGAAUCUGUAGACCUUGGAUCUUUGAUGACGAUCCUAAUCUUGACAAAUAUUGCAAUAACAAAAGGCUAGAGAAAGUGAUUCGUGAUUGGAACUGGGAUGAUGAUAAUAUUCUCGAUGAGUGUGGACGCCGAUCUGGACACUGUCCGUUACUUGGAUGUGAGUUACUUGGGUUUCACCCCUACAAAGAGAUUGCCUUCUUCUUGAUGGAGCGGUUUGAAGCGGUGGCUUAUCAUUUUGAUAGCUCAAAAGUUCAGUAUAUAGGCUAUAUGCGUCCAACAAUUGAUAGUAUGACAUUGUCGGUUGAUGAGUCCUUUCUAUACACCCCCUGUAUGAUCGGAGAUCUUCCAGAGAAGGCUGAAAGAGUUAAACACCGACACAAACGCAGCUAA